AUCCAGGGCAGUUGAAGUGAUGAUGUUUUCCAUGUCUCUGGUCCCUAGGAGUCUGAGAAGCAGAUUUUAUUAGAAGAUCACUAGAAAAUUGCAGUGAAAGCUUCCACCUCUGCAGUGAAGACAGGAUUGCUAGACAAGUGGUAUAUUUUGUUGCCUUUGAAUUUUCCCAGUUGUAUCAGAAGUUACCACAGAAUAUUUUGGCCUAUCUGCUUUUCCAGAUUUUAUUCCAGAUUGGCCCAAAUAUGUCCUAGAGGAAACUUUUCCUGCUAUAUGGCUAUUUUCACAUGUGAUGUUGCCUUGGUCCACUCAUCCCAUCUCACCAGUCUUCAGAGGAAGAUCUUACUGUUCAUCCUUCCAACAGAACAAUUGGUAGAAACACUUGCAAUUUUUUUCUUUUAUACAGCUUGUUCUCUGACUCUUUCUAACCUCUUUCUUGAAAUUGCCUCAUAACUACCUCAAUUGAAGUGUUCUGUGUCACAUAGUUUCCUGUAUUUCUUUCAAGCUGAUGAAGUCAUUCCUUUCAAGCUGAUGAGCUGCCAUGCUUCAUGUCACAAUACCCCCUUGGAAAAGAAGGCAGCUAGGCACACCUCAGUACCCUGAAGCAUAUUUUGUUUCUUUUACAGAACCAACUCCACCAAUUAUCAGGUAUUCUUCUAACAGUUCUCAGAAGUUGGGGGAAGAUCCUUUGGUGCUGGUCAAAAAUCCAGAAACAAGACAGAUUAGAAGUCCAUUUCAAUUAAUAACCUGGAGGAAAAGGUAUGCUUGUGUAUCCACAGGUUCAAGGCAGAAGUAACUUCCUAGUGAAGAACAUGGAAAUUUAUCAGCUGCAGAAACAAGCGGAUGACCCCAGGAGCAGAGAAGUGAGCACACAGACAUGAAGUGCAUCAAGACCACAGUUGACAGCCAACAGCUUUUAUCCCACAUGCAGAAGAAGUGGACUUUGGGUUUCAUGUAAAAGUGUGGGAAAUUAUUAAUAUUGUAACACCUUGUUUGUAAAAUCGUGGUGUGAAUCAUGUUAGGAUUCAGAAUCUUGUGGAAGAGAUACAGCCAAUGAACAUGAAACUAAA